GGAGUAUAACACAAAAUCUACAACUUAGACAUCACAAAAUUAUCAAAAGCAUUUGAGAAGAUGCCAUCUGAUACGACCAGUCAAUCCGACGACCCGAUAGAAACUCAGUCGAUCCGACGAUCCGAUAAGUACCCGACUAGACGAUCUGUUCGCAUGGCUAAUAUGUGAUGGAUUUAAAAUGCACUUGAAGGAAAAGGUGGAUCUUAUCCAGGGAUAGUUGCUGCUUUUGAUUUGAUGAAAAACUUGUACAGGAUUCAGCAUCUUUUCUACAUCCUAGUUUUUAAAGAAAGAUAGGCACUGGUUGCAAGUUUUCAGCCAUAGGCAAAUGGUAUAGCUUUUGAUGUAAUUAUCACCUUGAUUUCUAACGCACAUGGAGCUAGCCUACAUGGAGCCUCUAACCUAAUUUCACAUGGAGCCUCUUAACAUAAUUUCACUGAAAUAUUUCAUUCAAGUUGGAAAGAAAGUUGGCCAUCAAUCGAAUUUACUAGAAUAUGAACAUAUAUUGCAAAAAAAAAAAAAAGAAACAUGUCCCCAAAUACAAUUUGCAUCAAUCUCCAAGGUUACUUUAGAGAGACGAAAGCGGAAACUGUUAAUUCAAGGUGUGAGACAUUUCAGAUGUCUUCCAUACAUAAUCAUCAUCCAUACAAAAGAUAGAGAGAAAGAAAGAAAAAGAGUUGAGGCCACAAGGAAUUCCAAUUAGUUACUAUCAGUCUGGGGAAAUUAUAUAAAACCUCUUUUUCAUUUAUUUAUGAUGUUUGAUCAUAUCAUCACCAU